rnacentral:rRNA from 1 species
UGCCCUUUAAACCACUUUUGGUAUCAAGGAGCUGGUAUCAAGCACACUACACAGUAGCUCAUAACACCUUGCACAGCCACACCCCUACGGGAAACAGCAGUAACAAAAAUUAAGCAAUAAACGAAAGUUCGACUAAGUUAUGCUAAUUAGGGCUGGUCAACUUCGUGCCAGCCACCGCGGUCAUACGAACAGCCCAAAUUAAUAGAACCCGGCGUAAAGAGUGGUUAUGACAUUCACACACUAAAGUUAAAUUUAACCUUAGCUGUAAAAAGCUAAAGGUCUAAAAUUAAAUACCCUACGAAAGUGACUUUAACAAAUCAGAAUCCACGAUAGCUAAGAUACAAACUGGGAUUAGAUACCCCACUAUGCCUAGCCCUAAACCUAGUUAAUUAGUAACAAAAUUACUCGCCAGAGAACUACGAGCAAAAGCUUAAAACUCAAAGGACUUGGCGGUGCUUUAUAUCCACCUAGAGGAGCCUGUUGUAUAAUCGAUAAACCCCGCUAAACCCUACCAUCAUUUGCUAAUCCAGUCUAUAUACCGCCAUCUUCAGCAAACCCUUAAAAGGAACCAAAGUAAGCUUAAUUAUACUUAAUAAAAACGUUAGGUCAAGGUGUAACUUAUAUGAUGGAAACUAAUGGGCUACAUUCUCUUUAAAAGAGUA